GACAGAGGGUGCAAACGUUGUUCGGAAUUACUGGGCGUAAAGCGCGUGUAGGCGGCUAAGUAAGUCGGGCGUGAAAUCCCACGGCUCAACCGUGGAAGUGCACUCGAAACUGCAUAGCUAGAGUCCUGGAGAGGAAGGUGGAAUGCUUGGUGUAGAGGUGAAAUUCGUAGAUAUUCGGAAGAACACCAGUGGCGAAGGCGAACUCACUGGACACAUAUUGACGCUGAGGUGCGAAAGCGUGGGGAGCAAACAGG
rnacentral:rRNA from 1 species